AGUAACACGUGAGCAACCUGCCCUUGGCUCUGGGAUAACCUCGGGAAACCGUGGCUAAUACCGGAUACGACACGCGAAGGCAUCUUCUGCGUGUGGAAAGAUUUAUCGGCCAGGGAUGGGCUCGCGGCCUAUCAGCUAGUUGGUGAGGUAAUGGCCCACCAAGGCGACGACGGGUAGCCGGCCUGAGAGGGUGACCGGCCACACUGGGACUGAGACACGGCCCAG
rnacentral:rRNA from 1 species